UGUAAAAGGUUGAGAACAGCUGUUGUAAGAGUGAUGUAACUAUUCUCUAAAUUCUCUGCAUACUGGAUGUAUUACAUGCGUUUUUAUUUAUUAAUUUUUUUUCAUCAAUCUGCACACCCCCUCUGUAGGCCCAUGUGGAAGAACGGAAAGAAAAAGAAAACAAAACCCCUUUCAUACAGGUGGCCAAACAAAAUAAAUAGGGGAGAGCCCCACCAUAACACGUUCCCUCCUCAAAUGUCUUCUUAUCAUCAUUCUAAAGCACAGUCGUCUCGCUGCCAUCUUCUGUCACUCUUCACACGAAGAAAUCAGAAAUGUGCUAACUGUCGCCCGACUCAGCUAAGUAAGGGUUUAUACCUGGGGGAGGGCAGUCUUAAAGUUGAGUAAGAAAUUUUGUACUUAGCGGACGAGUUGUCUUGUGCACACCGAGUUACUGUACUUAAAGUUAAGUCAGCCAACUUAAGCUUAAGUUCAUGUUUAAGUUCGCUUAUGCACAUCAGCCCAGGUAUGUACAGCGUCCCCACAAAAGUGCAUUUAAUACACACAAGAUGAAAACCUCGUAAAAAAUAUUUUAAUCACCAUUUAAAUCAUUUUUCAAAGCAUCAGCACUGUCACCGAGAUUCCUUCUUCUUCUCCUCCUCCUCCCCCCAACUCACACCCAAAUGAAACGUUUUGAUCUCUAUGUGGUAUGUAGUAUUUUUAAUGUGUCAAUUAAACGAAUUCCUUUCAACUUAAGCUUCAACAGACGCUUUCAAACAAGAGAGACAUGGUUUUAUUUAUCGGACUUUCAAGACAUCACAAGAUCAUCAGACAUCAUUAACAGUCAAGGAUGCGUUUACCGCUGGCAUCAUGCAACUCGGCAUUACAUCCUCCACACUAGUCAUCCCUGGCAGGACGAAUUACCACGACACGUGAACAUUAUCCAGUGUAAAAGAUGCUCGUCUGAUGCCUCUUGUAAAAGAACAAGAAAAAACGCCAGCAUUAUCCAGUGUAAAAGAUGCUUGUCUGAUGCCUCCUGUAGAAGAACGAAAAGAAACGGUUAUAUCAGUUGUCUCCACGGCCCUGACGUCUGCUUGUCUGGAAGUCGACGGUUGUUCCUCUUCACGAGAGGUGGAAGGCUGAGGACUAAAGGUCAUCGCUCUAGCCGUGUCCAUCUUUGCUGUAUUUCUCGUCACCACCUCGUCCUCGGUACCGCCACUCUCGUCAUGUCCUUCAUAAUUAAACUCUUCCUCCUCUAAUGGUGAUGACACUGGAGAGGAGGAAGAAGUGUCAUCGACAAUGUCAGGUGGUGUAGAUUGUCGCAAUGUCAAGUUUGAGCGCUCUGUGCGACUCAUCUUAGGUAAGGACGAUCCUUCUUCCUCCGAACUCGACGAAUCCGCCACUCUUGUACGUUUUUCAGGAGACAGUAAUGUAGACCUCUCAGCAUAAGCUAUCAUUUCUCCCUGCAUGGCAUCCCAGUCCCUUGGUGUGUCAGAUUCGGUGUCCAAUUCAAAUCCUCUAAAUGUUUCAGGUAUACACCACUUUGUGUAGUCUCCUGAAUACUUAUUUCCUCGCUGGUACAUUCCCCAUUGUUUAGGAGCAAGGAUGGCCAGAUCACUGAUCAUCGUUUUGUAAUACUCUGGAAAGUCUAUGAGGUAGCGAUGGACGAGAUGUAUUGCAUAACAAAUGGAGCUUUGCUUGCGUAUAAGUUUUUUGUUCCAGCCAGGCUCAAGACUGAAGUUAGAAUCUGUCAGUCCUUCGAAAACAUCAAUGAAAGCGCCUUUCAGUCUCUGCUCAAGAGACUGAUUAUCUUCAAUGAGGUUCUGGCAGAGACUAAGGAAGACACGCAGGAACUCCUUAAAGAGCUUUCUAGCUUGGUAAGCCAUGCUGUGUUUUACCUCCACGGAAACAGAAAGGUCGACAGCAGCAGGUAAGCUCCAAGGCUGUCCUUGUGGCCCUUCAGGAAUAUUACAGAACACUCUCUUGGCGAUUUCAGAAUCUUUAAAAGUUCUCAGAUGUGCGCACACAGAGUCAAUAUCACUGCGAACACCAAAAGCCUCCAAACACUUUAUAGCUUCAAUAUAUUGUCUAUUGUUGCCUGUUGUUGAUUGUAUUAUCCUGCUUUGUUGCAGUCUGAAGGUAACUGGUGUCCACGGCGCACAGCGGAUGAAGGCUUCUUGACAGACCUUGAUUAGCUGCUGGUUACUCAUCUUCAUGGAAUUUUUGUAAAGUCCUGAUACACAAAUCUUUUAUUGUCUUCGUUUUGUAUGCAUAAAAUAGUUAUCUUUCUCUAAUGCCUUCCUCUGAACCUUUCUCUGUCGCUGCUCAGCGUGCAAUGGGGACACGGGCGGAGCUCUCGGGGAAAGCGCAGCAAACCGUGUGACGUCAUCAACAAAAUGGACCAAUCCAUAAGAAGGAUGCUUGCAGCAGUUGCCGCUGGUUUUCGCAUCUCUGGCUGUCAUGAGGAGGCAGGCAUAGCCUAACUGCUUUUUUUUUUUAAAAAUGUUUCGCGCUUGUUAUACGCCAGUGAUGCCCAACCUUUUUCGGCCUGCGGGUCAUACACAUUACCGACAUGCGUGCCACGGGCGUUUCACCGCAAAAAUACAAGAAAGAAAAAAAAAAUAAAGCGGAUACCAUUUUUAUUAGAAACAAGUUGUACUUGCCAGGUUGGGCAUCCUUGUUAUACGCUGUUUGUAGCGGGUGUCUGGGUGUCUUAUAAACAAAUCCCAAUCCAGAAGUGUUUCUAUACGGGCCUGCGAGAUUUGUGGGAUGAAAAGACACUAACAGAUUUUUCAACCCUUUUGUAAAAACAAAAGAAAGAUAAGAAAAUGCUAACUACGUGUUAGUACAAGUAUUGUUUCAUAUAAAGGACAAGCAUGUCCUACUGCA